GUUUGUUAUUCGUUUGCCCUCGUCGCCGUCGCAGUUCCUGUCGGCGCGCACCGCAGAAAUAACGGACGCGAGUCUUUCCAUUUUCUCGUCUCGCGAAAAAUAAUUACUUCGAUUGCAGCAGCUGCACACGGCCGCGUCGCGUAAAGUACGCAACCACGGUACCGGUAUAAGUUAUAAGGUAUAAGGUACACGUCGUAUGCCGAAAAGUCGCGUCGCCGUCGUCGCCAUUAGCGACAUUUGCUUAUAGAUGACCGACCUCGUAACCUGCGCGUCGUCGGAUGGCCGAAAAAUUUAAAAUCGAAAAUAAUUAAAGUUUAGGCAAAAAUGCAACUCAAUGCAACUUCUGAUCCUGAAGAUCUGGCUCCUAUAGUUGAAAAUGAGUUCUCCCACUAUUCUCCCACGGCUAAAGAAGUAAAACUGUUCCGGCAAAGCAAGUAGUUGCAGUGUCGAGUGCCUAACAAUUUAGCAACUCUCCAUGAAAUCCAAGUCCAACACGCCCUG